rnacentral:rRNA from 1 species
UGCUCGAGUGGCGAACGGGUGAGUAACACGUGGGUGAUCUGCCCUGCACUUCGGGAUAAGCUUGGGAAACUGGGUCUAAUACCGGAUAGGACCAUCGUUUAGUGUAGGUGGUGGAAAGUUUUUUCGGUGUGGGAUGAGCUCGCGGCCUAUCAGCUUGUUGGUGGGGUAAUGGCCUACCAAGGCGUCGACGGGUAGCCGGCCUGAGAGGGUGUACGGCCACAUUGGGACUGAGAUACGGCCCAG